AAAAAAUCGUUGGCGGAAGACGGUACAAAAAAAAAAAAUCGGUUACGGAUCGGGUCUCAGAGAAAUAAAAAUAAAAAUAAUUAGAAACAAGGAGGAAGUAGAGCUGCCUAGCGGGACCGAUGCGGAUAUAUUAGAAAAGCUGGAAAAAAAAGGAACAAAAACUGUGCCCAGUUCCGCCGUCCUGUCCACAGCGGCAUGGUCCUUCGCCCGGCCUAGAAGUGGACCCCGGAAUAUCGUCCCCGUCCUCCAGCAAAGAUGUUAUUAAACCCGAUUUAAAUACCUACAUGUAAUUUAGAACCCACUAGGCCGUCGCAUAUCUGUGUAUACACUUAUUUAUUUAUUUACCGUUAAUUAUAUUUAUUUAUUUGUUCUUAUAUAUGUAAUUGUCACUAUUUAUAAUUAUUUAUUUAUUUAAUCAUAGUUAAUUUGAUACGCCCAUGCCCAUAAUUUAGGUCACAGAAUAGAAGAGGUUAGGAUGGGGAUUAGGAGGUCGACCUAAACCAGCUAGGAGUUACAGAAUACAAAAAGAAUGUGUGAAAAA